GGUUAAGCGACUAAGCGUACACGGUGGAUGCCCUGGCAGUCAGAGGCGAUGAAGGACGUGCUAAUCUGCGAAAAGCGUCGGUAAGGUGAUAUGAACCGUUAUAACCGGCGAUGUCCGAAUGGGGAAACCCAGUGUGAUUCGUCACACUAUCGUUAACUGAAUACAUAGGUUAACGAGGCGAACCGGGGGAACUGAAACAUCUAAGUACCCCGAGGAAAAGAAAUCAACCGAGAUUCCCCCAGUAGCGGCGAGCGAACGGGGAGCAGCCCAGAGUCUGAAUCAGCUUGUGUGUUAGUGGAACGGUCUGGAAAGUCCGACGGUACAGGGUGAUAGUCCCGUACACCAAAAUGCACAGGCUGUGAACUCGAAGAGUAGGGCGGGACACGUGGUAUCCUGUCUGAAUAUGGGGGGACCAUCCUCCAAGGCUAAAUACUCCUGACUGACCGAUAGUGAACCAGUACCGUGAGGGAAAGGCGAAAAGAACCCCGGCGAGGGGAGUGAAAAAGAACCUGAAACCGUGUACGUACAAGCAGUGGGAGCACCUUCGGGUGUGACUGCGUACCUUUUGUAUAAUGGGUCAGCGACUUAUAUUCUGUAGCAAGGUUAACCGUAUAGGGGAGCCGCAGGGAAACCGAGUCUUAACUGGGCGUUAAGUUGCAGGGUAUAGACCCGAAACCCGGUGAUCUAGCCAUGGGCAGGUUGAAGGUUGGGUAACACUAACUGGAGGACCGAACCGACUAAUGUUGAAAAAUUAGCGGAUGACUUGUGGCUGGGGGUGAAAGGCCAAUCAAACCGGGAGAUAGCUGGUUCUCCCCGAAAGCUAUUUAGGUAGCGCCUCGUGAACUCAUCUUCGGGGGUAGAGCACUGUUUCGGCUAGGGGGUCAUCCCGACUUACCAACCCGAUGCAAACUACGAAUACCGAAGAAUGUUAUCACGGGAGACACACGGCGGGUGCUAACGUCCGUCGUGAAGAGGGAAACAACCCAGACCGCCAGCUAAGGUCCCAAAGUCAUGGUUAAGUGGGAAACGAUGUGGGAAGGCACAGACAGCCAGGAUGUUGGCUUAGAAGCAGCCAUCAUUUAAAGAAAGCGUAAUAGCUCACUGGUCGAGUCGGCCUGCGCGGAAGAUGUAACGGGGCUAAACCAUGCACCGAAGCUGCGGCAGCGACACGAUGUGUUGUUGGGUAGGGGAGCGUUCUGUAAGCCUGCGAAGGUGUGCUGUGAGGCAUGCUGGAGGUAUCAGAAGUGCGAAUGCUGACAUAAGUAACGAUAAAGCGGGUGAAAAGCCCGCUCGCCGGAAGACCAAGGGUUCCUGUCCAACGUUAAUCGGGGCAGGGUGAGUCGACCCCUAAGGCGAGGCCGAAAGGCGUAGUCGAUGGGAAACAGGUUAAUAUUCCUGUACUUGGUGUUACUGCGAAGGGGGGACGGAGAAGGCUAUGUUAGCCGGGCGACGGUUGUCCCGGUUUAAGCAUGUAGGCUGGUUGUCCAGGCAAAUCCGGAUAAUCAAGGCUGAGGUGUGAUGACGAGGCACUACGGUGCUGAAGUAACAAAUGCCCUGCUUCCAGGAAAAGCCUCUAAGCAUCAGGUAACAUUAAAUCGUACCCCAAACCGACACAGGUGGUCAGGUAGAGAAUACCAAGGCGCUUGAGAGAACUCGGGUGAAGGAACUAGGCAAAAUGGUGCCGUAACUUCGGGAGAAGGCACGCUGGUGUGUAGGUGAAGCCCCUGCGGGUGGAGCUGAGACCAGUCGAAGAUACCAGCUGGCUGCAACUGUUUAUUAAAAACACAGCACUGUGCAAACACGAAAGUGGACGUAUACGGUGUGACGCCUGCCCGGUGCCGGAAGGUUAAUUGAUGGGGUUAUCCGUAAGGAGAAGCUCUUGAUCGAAGCCCCGGUAAACGGCGGCCGUAACUAUAACGGUCCUAAGGUAGCGAAAUUCCUUGUCGGGUAAGUUCCGACCUGCACGAAUGGCGUAAUGAUGGCCAGGCUGUCUCCACCCGAGACUCAGUGAAAUUGAACUCGCUGUGAAGAUGCAGUGUACCCGCGGCAAGACGGAAAGACCCCGUGAACCUUUACUAUAGCUUGACACUGAACAUUGAGCCUUGAUGUGUAGGAUAGGUGGGAGGCUUUGAAGCGUGGACGCCAGUCUGCGUGGAGCCAACCUUGAAAUACCACCCUUUAAUGUUUGAUGUUCUAACGUUGGCCCCUGACCGGGGUUGCGGACAGUGUCUGGUGGGUAGUUUGACUGGGGCGGUCUCCUCCCAAAGCGUAACGGAGGAGCACGAAGGUUAGCUAAUCCUGGUCGGACAUCAGGAGGUUAGUGCAAUGGCAUAAGCUAGCUUGACUGCGAGCGUGACGGCGCGAGCAGGUGCGAAAGCAGGUCAUAGUGAUCCGGUGGUUCUGAAUGGAAGGGCCAUCGCUCAACGGAUAAAAGGUACUCCGGGGAUAACAGGCUGAUACCGCCCAAGAGUUCAUAUCGACGGCGGUGUUUGGCACCUCGAUGUCGGCUCAUCACAUCCUGGGGCUGAAGUAGGUCCCAAGGGUAUGGCUGUUCGCCAUUUAAAGUGGUACGCGAGCUGGGUUUAGAACGUCGUGAGACAGUUCGGUCCCUAUCUGCCGUGGGCGCUGGAGAAUUGAGGGGGGCUGCUCCUAGUACGAGAGGACCGGAGUGGACGCAUCACUGGUGUUCGGGUUGUCAUGCCAAUGGCACUGCCCGGUAGCUAAAUGCGGAAGAGAUAAGUGCUGAAAGCAUCUAAGCACGAAACUUGCCCCGAGAUGAGUUCUCCCUGAGACUUUAAGUCUCCUGAAGGAACGUUGAAGACGACGACGUUGAUAGGCCGGGUGUGUAAGCGCAGCGAUGCGUUGAGCUAACCGGUACUAAUGAACCGUGAGGCUUAACCUU
rnacentral:rRNA from 1 species